UCAUAAAUUUCAAUUUGAAUG
rnacentral:piRNA from 1 species